UGAACCUUAAAAUUAAUCCUGACCUGGUU
rnacentral:piRNA from 1 species